AGCAUCUGCGGUGUAGAAAGAGGCAGAGCCUGAAGUCGAAGGGGCUUCUUUGUGAAGAUGAGAGCUCACAUCUGCCUUUGAUCAGCCACAUGGCAGCCCAGGAUCAGAUCAGAAAGCAAAUGAGAUGAUAAAGUAGAUGAAACCACAGAAGAGAUUAGGGCAUAGAUAUGUUCAUGCACAGAGGAAAGACCACAUGAGGACACAGAGGGAAGUUGGCCAUCUACAAACCAAGGACAGAGGCCUCAGAAGAAACCAAGCCGGCUUACACCUUGGUUUUGGACUUCCAACUCCAGAACUUUGAGAAGAAAAAAUUUUAAGCCACUCAGUUUAUGGUAUUUUUUUACUACAGCUCCAGCAUACUACUAUGUGGAGACAAAAGCUCAGUCCUGCUGGGUUGCUGCUUAAUUACCGGCAUAAGGUAAAACUUGUCUCAUGGUUGUCCCA